UUUUAAAGUUACUAGAUAACUGUAACGAUUGCUUUAGAUCGAAGAGUUUCUAGGUUACGCACGGCGAUUUUAUAAUUCGUUAGGUUAUGUGAUAAUAUUCAGACGAAACAAACUUUGAUCGUCGAUUAUAUUUAAUGUGUCUCGUGACUCCUUACAAAUUAACACGAAUACGAAGAUUCGGACAGAAUGGAUCAACGAAGAGUGAGUACUAUUUACCAUUCUGGACAAUUCGAAUUACCGAACUCCAACAGUUUAACAUCACGAACAUGAACCAUCUGGAUAUAGCCUACAAAGCUCAGGAUUGAAAUCGUACAAUCGGAGGAAGAAAAUACAGUCCGAACAAAGAAAUUGAAGCUGCCGAAGAGUCGCACGCAAGAAAAGGUGCGGUCGGUUUCGCCGCUUGUUCAAGGCCGUUCGGUGCAUAUGCAACCGAUAGAUGCAUGUUUUCUUUUGUCACCAUGAGCCCCUCUUUCUCGAACUGCCAGCUCUUCCAUGGAAUUACUCACUCGACCGGUAUUUUUACCAGUCAUCGCGGCUCGCGACUCGUUUCUCGCGUGUUGUGAUCGGGACCGCCUCUUCUCGAAACGGAAACCGAUUGUUUUACGAAGAUUCAGCAACUAGCGUGCGAGGUCUCUCGCUAUAUACGUGAAAAGAAAAAUAUAUCGCAUGUUACGAAAGAUGAUAAAAUCGUCAAAUUCGAAACCUCAACAUGGAGGAGCAGAGCGCGUAAUUGCGAGUGGAGGAUGUGGUAGCCCAGCGGUCAGGGACUCCGGAACAGAUGUCGUUCCUCUUCCUGGAUUUCCUUUUCGUGGAAUACCUCAAUUUACUCAACAGAUUGCCUGAUGUUCGUUGCUCAUUUGCUCUUUGUUCACUGUCUUUUGAAUAAAGAAUUUCAACGUGGAUGUUCCGCUAUACUAUACUAUAUAUAGUUCGUGGUUGAACCAAGCAACGAGCAAAGUUUCCUUAUUCGUUCGAUAAGUAUGAUCAAUAUGAAGAGAGUCAGUGUCUAUGGCCAAGUUAAAAUGGGGAUAUAGUCUAUUCUCUUUCUAUUAAACAUGGACGCAUAGAAAUUCUUCUUCCUGUCAAUUAACUCGCGUUUCAGUUUGGUUCUAUUAACGCUUAGCAAUUAGAAGGACGAUAAUGGUCGUCAUUUUGCAAUUGUUCGGAUAUGCUUCGUGACUUUUCAAAAUACAGAAUUGUCGUUUCGCCUCAACUAACCGUAGCCAAUAAAUUACUUCCGAAACUUGUCCAUAGUCUGAUCUAAUAACGAUCUAAUAACCUCUAUUCAUAGUUCAAUUUAAUCUAUCCAGGUUGGUAAGUGUCACACGCUGACCAUUGUUUUUGUAUCUACAGAGCUAGAACGGUUGUGUCAACAGAAUUACUCAAACAACUACGCCUUUGUUACGUAAUUGAAACCCAAAGUUAUGAAAGGUAUGCAAACCUUGUGAAACAUAAAAUCAGUCCAAACCACGACAGCUAUCAUCUACAAGUAUCAACAGCCGUCAUGUAACACCUAAUAUAAUACGUGCUCCUAAAUCUUUUCAAAAAGAGUGUCCUCAGCAAGUCCCCAGCUGUUUGCAUUGACCAAGGAGACAAAAGCUAUGGCUGCUGCUGCAGGCUCCCUGAGCCACCUAAAGACAGACCAAGGUCGAUACGGGGUUAGGAUGACGAAGUGCAAGAGAAAGAGAGAGAAAGGAGAAGGAAGCGGAACGGCAGCUGUCCCGUUUCCAGAAUUAUGAAAGGGCGCGUGCGCGGAAGCUCGCUUGGGGGUCACCCGAGCGAUUCGUGGAAGGUUCACAGGUAGACCGGGUCGGUCAGAGAGAAAUGCAGCCCUAACCUCAAUUCGAAGGCCCAUUGCGAGGCACACCUGACCCGGAUCAACCUAGAAACCGAGCUGGGGACGGUCUGCUACGGUUCAGGUUCAAGUUCAAGGUUCUGACACAGAGCACACGCUGGCUAGGUAGGUUGUUUUCUCUCGUCGUGCAUCCUUGAAGGAUAUUUGAUGAAAGGUUGCAAGUUGAAGCUGUUGGAUGAGGAGUUUCGAGUUGAAGGAAGGAUCUGAGGAAAGCGUGAUGGGUUUACCCUGGAUUUUUGUAUGGAAAUUUAUGUUCCUAAUGGGAUUUAGUAGAAGCUUGUUUUAUUUAACUGGAUCUUCAUAGUAGAAUUUCAAUGGAGUUAUUUUACUCUCCACAAACAUGUACACAGACACAGAAAAUAUUAUGAUGUUAAUGCGCAAUUGCCAGAGGAAUUAGUUUUUCUAGGUUAGGAUCUUUCUAUCUAACUAGAUCUGAAUAUUUUAAAGCACGACACAAAAUUAAAUGAGAAGAAUAUUGUA